rnacentral:rRNA from 1 species
ACGAAAUACUCACGGGUUAAUACCCGGUGGGGCUGACGGUACCCGAGGAAUAAGCACCGGCUAAAUUCGUGCCCGCAGCCGCGGUAAUACGAAGGGUGCAAGCGUUAAUUGGAAAUACUGGGCGUAAAGGGUGCGUAGGCGGUUCUUUAAGUCUGUGGUGAAAUCCCCGGGCUCAACCCGGGAAAGGCGCUGGAUACAGGCGAGCUAGAGUGUGUCAGAGGGGGGUGGAAAUUCCGGUGUAGCGGUGAAAAGCGUAGAGAUCGGGAGGAACAUCAGUGGCGAAGGGGGCCAUCUGGGACAACACAGACGCUGAAGCACGAAAGCGUGGGGAGCAAACAGGAUUAGAUACCCCGGUAGUCCACGCCCUAAAAGAUGCGAAA